rnacentral:siRNA from 1 species
GUCAGCUCAGAACUGGUAC